CUUGCUUUUCCUGAUGACGAGUGGCGGACGGGUGAGUAAAGUUUGGGAAGCUACCUGAUAGAGGGGGACAACAGUUGGAAACGACUGCUAAUACCGCAUACAGCCUGAGGGUGAAAGCAGCAAUGCGCUAUCAGAUGCGCCCAAAUGGGAUUAGCUAGUAGGUGAGGUAAAGGCUCACCUAGGCGACGAUCUCUAGCUGGUCUGAGAGGAUGAUCAGCCACAUUGGGACUGAGACACGGCCCAGACUCCUACGGGAGGCAGCAGUAGGGAAUAUUGCACAAUGGAGGAAACUCUGAUGCAGCCAUGCCGCGUGUGUGAAGAAGGCCUUCGGGUUGUAAAGCACUUUCGGAGGGGAGGAGAAUGACGUUACCCUCAGAAGAAGCACCGGCUAACUCCGUGCCAGCAGCCGCGGUAAUACGGAGGGUGCAAGCGUUAAUCGGAAUAACUGGGCGUAAAGGGCAUGCAGGCGGUUAAACAAGUAGGAUGUGAAAUCCCCGGGCUCAACCUGGGAGCUGCAUACUAAACUGUUUAACUAGAGUAUUGCAGGGGGAGACGGAAUUCCAGGUGUAGCGGUGGAAUGCGUAGAUAUCUGGAAGAACACCAAAGGCGAAGGCAGUCUCCUGGGCAAAUACUGACGCUCAUAUGCGAAAGCGUGGGUAGCAAACAGGAUUAGAUACCCUGGUAGUCCACGCCGUAAACGAUGUCAAUUAGGAGCUUGUGCGAUAGUAUGGGUUCCGCAGCAAACGCGAUAAAUUGACCGCCUGGGGAGUACGGCCGCAAGGUUAAAACUCAAAUGAAUUGACGGGGGCCCGCACAAGCGGUGGAGCAUGUGGUUUAAUUCGACGCAACGCGAAGAACCUUACCUGACCUUGACAUAGUGAGAACCUCUCUGAAAGGGAGAGGGUGCCUUCGGGAGCUCACAUACAGGUGCU
rnacentral:rRNA from 1 species